UACGUAGGGGGCAAGCGUUGUCCGGAAUUAUUGGGCGUAAAGAGCGUGUAGGCGGCCAGAUAAGUCCGCUGUGAAAUCUCGAGGCUCAACUUCGAGCUGUCGGUGGAAACUGUCUGGCUAGAGUCCGGAAGAGGAGAAUGGAAUUCCUGGUGUAGCGGUGGAAUGCGCAGAUAUCAGGAGGAACACCGAUGGCGAAGGCAGGUCUCUGGGCCAUUACUGACACUGAGAAGCGAAAGCAUGGGGAGCGAACAGG
rnacentral:rRNA from 1 species